AGGAUGAACGCUGGCGGCGUGCCUAAUACAUGCAAGUCGAGCGGUAAGGCUCCUGCAGGUUGUUUAAGCGAAAGUUUGAAUGACGUGCUGGAGUACACGAGCGGCGGACGGCUGAGUAACACGUAGGAACGUACCCCAAAGUGAGGCAUAAGCACCAGAAAUGGUGUCUAAUACCGCAUGUGAUCUUCGGAUUAAAGCUUCGGCGCUUUGGGAACGGCCUGCGCAUGAUUAGCUUGUUGGUGAGGUAAUAGCUCACCAAGGCGACGAUCAUUAGC
rnacentral:rRNA from 1 species